rnacentral:ncRNA from 2 species
UGGAUCGACUCUGGAGAGCGGCCGACCCGUUUGUUUCGACGGGCGGCCCACCGAAGGGGCUCAAGCUCUCAGGUUACCGGACAGAGGGGCGACG